CCGCCGUGAUGUUGCAGGAAUAUUGCUAAAAGCGGCGUAAAACCAAACUCAUCAGUCAAUGAAAAGAUCAAUAAUUUGAAAUCUCAUCAAUGGGAAGAAAUCUUAGCAAUUUUCUGAGCGAAAAUUUUAUCUUUGAUAUUGUCUUGCAUUGUAUGAAAUAACAGUGACCUUUGACAUGAAAUAUGUUGAUUUCUAUUGGACUCUUUUGCAUUUUUGCUUAAAGUUACUUCUCCAAUAUUUAUUAGUAAUCGGCUGAUAUUUAGUUAACGAUUAUCAGUCUCUAUGGUCUGAGCAGAUAGCCAGCCCUACUACAAAGUGUUCAUCAUGAACAUUUUAAACAUUGUUAACAUGUAAACUGUUUUUGUUGGUGAGGUAUCGUUAUAUAUGUGUUGUUGAUGUGACUGUAAUUACGCUGUGCUGUCUAUAAGAUGUCUAAUACUGAUUCGUUGAUACAAAUAAUGCUGGAAAAACUAUACAAAAUGGUCAUUGAAUUCAGGAUGGGGUGGUGCUUCAAAAACUUGAUUGCAAUAUUAUUUUGCAUCUAUUGAGGUAUACUUGCCAGGUUGUUUUAUUUCUUUUCUUUUUUAUUAACUCCAUAAACACACAAACGCUGUAAAUUCUUAUAAGUUCAUAAACUACAAGAACUUUACAAACUAUUUAAAUAUAAUUGAUUACAUAAAUACUUUGGCAGUACAAAAUAUGUGACAUUUUUCAGCUCAACGAAGGCAACACAAUCCAGGGCCCGUUUCAUAAAGCUCUAGUAGACCUAAGAUCUCGUAACUUUUCUCAUAGCAUUCAUACUUCCUAUGUUACAGUAUAGGAAUGCUAUGAGAAAAGUUACUGAGAUCUUAGGUCUUAAUCUUUGUGAAGCGGGACUGCCAGAACCUUAUCAGUGAGAAAUCAUAAAUCUAUCUGUGGUUUGUCCAAAAUGUUUUUCCAGCCCUGAAAACAAACACAGACAAAAUUGUUUGGAUAGGCAAUCAACUGCCAUGAAAUUUGUGCUAAUAAAUUAUGUUUAAUUAUCCAUUAUUUCCAUAUGAUAAUGAUUAAGGAACACUGAUGCAUGCUGGUCGUAUUAUGUUAAUCUGACAUUGUGUGUUCUGGUUGUUUCAGUUCACUACACAUUGCAUGAGGGGCACCAUUCUGUCAGAAAAUGUUCCAACCAAAUAAACAUUUUAGGAGUGGUGGUGGGGUAGCAUAGUGGUUAAAGCAUUCGCUUGUCAUGCCGAAGGCUCAGUUUGAAUCUCCAUAUGGUUACAGUGUUUGAAACCCAGUUUUGGUGUCGAUUGCUUGAAGAUUGCUAAAAGCAACAUAAAACCGAACUCACUCUCUCAUUGUUUGAAGAAGAAGUCAGUAAACCAGAAGUCUGCACCUGUGAUAAUAAAAAGAAACACAGUUUCAGUAACAAAGCAAUGCAUUUUUCAUUUACAUGCAUGUCUUUUAAAAAUAAUUCUAAAAAUUUACACCUGCCAGAUAUCAUUUUGAUAUUUACGAUUUUCAUGGUGUUUUUUGCAAGGGUUACUUUGGUUUCAUAAAGCUCUAAUUCCAGAUUCCAUGCCGUGGAUCCACGUUUUGUGAAAAUAUUAGUAUUUGCAAUUUAAGAGUGUUAAUAGAAAGUAUAUAGAUCUUCACAGUGGUGGUGGGAUCAAGCUUUAUAAUUCUCCUUUAACAUGUUACAGUUUGUGUUUGAGUUUUGUCGUUGUGAAAUUGUGAUCUGAUUGAUGAGAAUGGAAAAUAUGGAAUGAAAGGAAAAUGGCAGUUUGUUGCUUUGAGUCUGUCCACCUGUUACUUGUGUUCAAAGUUUGGAAAAUCUUGGAAUAGCACAUCCUUUGUUGCGAUGUUGAACAGUUUAUUUCAGUUUCAUCAGCUGUGGUACCAACAUGUAUGACUUGUUUAUUUUGUGAUUUAUACCAGGCAGAUGCCUACAGUGCUUUGUGUCUCAAUAACACCUUAACUCCACUACAGCUCAUUGUACCAUGUAUACCUGACAAAUGUUCCCUUGAUACUGAGAAUGCACUAUUUUCAGGGGCGGUGGGGUAGUCUAGUGGCUAAAGCGUUCGCUCGUCAUGCCGAGGCCCGAGUUCGAUUCCCUACAUGGGUAUAAUGUGUGAAGCCCAUUUCUGGUGUCCCCUGCCGUUAUAUUGCUGCAAUAUUGCUAAAAGCAGUGUAAAACUAAAUUCACUCACUCACUCAUUGUACCCUGGGAUGGUGGGGUAGUCUAAUGGUUAAAGCGUUCACUUGUCACGUCAAAGUCUCGAGUUCAAUAACCCACAUGGGUAGAUUGUGUGAAGGCCAUAUCUGGUGUCCCCUGCGGUGAUAUUGCUGGAAUAUAGCUAAAAAGUGCGUAAAACUAAACUCAAACUCACUCACUCUUUGUACCCUGAGCUGUAAAUAUUGACAUCAGACAUAUUUGGGGCAAACCUUGCGGUGGCAAGGAGCCUGAUUCUUCUGACAUUGAUACACUUAUGUCAGAGAGGGUCACAUGAGAAGGAAUAAAUCUUCUUUAUAUUUUUUAUCAAAGCACUGCAGGGCCUCCUUUCACAAAGCACUAAUGUGAUCGUAAGUCACUAAGGCAACCUUAGUGCAAUGUUAAAGAAUGGGAGUUAAGGUUAACCUUAGUAAAGGUUGCUUCGAGAAAGGAGCCCCAAGUGAAGAACUAUUGUACAAGUGAAAUGUUGUUGGGGUCAAGACUUAAAAUUUUUGUUUGUUGAUGAAGCAUAUUUCUCAUUUUCUUUUUCGACAUGUUUUUGUUAGCAUUCUUCCAGCCAUGUAUGUGUGACACUACUUGUGAACCAACACGACUUCAUACUGAACACGUCUACACAAGGUGUCAAGGACUGACUGUCUGUAUUGUCACUGUUGCGAGUGUGGAUUCAUGGUGCUCAGACUUGUUACUAUAUCUAUUGUAUGAACUGAUGAAUAAAUAUGUAUAAAUGCC